rnacentral:lncRNA from 1 species
AAGUAAAGCAGCCCCAAAAGAAGGCAGCAGCAACAGCUACCCAAGCUAGCAACAGUGAUCACGCCAAAGUAGACACCUAGAGUAGCUAGCAGCAAAACUGAUCCAUAAAGAGGGAGGGACGCCGCUCUCGCCUCAUCAGAAUCAUCAUCAUCAGCAGCAAGCAAAGGAGGAGGAGGAGGCGGUGGUGACAAGAAGAAGAAGAAGUAGAAACCACACCAACGAGUGAGAGGAGGAGCUUCUUCUUCGCGGGGUGUGGGGGUGGGGGUGAGGACACCUCAUCGAGUGAUGCGCGCCGGGGCCUACACCAUCCACCAGUCGCUCACCGCCGAGGCGGCCNNNN